CUUACCUUAAUAGUAAGAGUGACGGGCGAUGUGUGCAUAUUUUAGAGCUAAAAUCAAAACUUUAAUCUUUAAAUUUUUACUAUCAAAUCCACCUUCAUUUAAAUUAUUUAAAAAUAAAAUCCGUUUAAAUAAAUUUAUUGUAACCCAUCUCUUCUUAAACAUAAGCUACACCUUGAUCUGAUAUAAAUUCUUUAUUAAAUUAUUGAAAAUUAUUAUUCUAAUAAAAUAUUCUGAUAACGACGGUAUAUAAACUGAAAAACAAAUUUAAGUAAGGUUCAUCGUGGAUUAUCAAUUACAGGACAGGUUCCUCUGAAUAGACUAAAAUACCGCCAAAUUUUUUAAGUUUCAAGAACAUAACUAAUACUACCUAAGUGUUUAAUUUUACAUUUUAAAUAAUA
rnacentral:rRNA from 1 species